rnacentral:rRNA from 1 species
UGGGGAAUCUUCGGCAAUGGACGAAAGUCUGACCGAGCAACGCCGCGUGAGUGAAGAAGGUUUUCGGAUCGUAAAACUCUGUUGUUAGAGAAGAACAAGGACGUUAGUAACUGAACGUCCCCUGACGGUAUCUAACCAGAAAGCCACGGCUAACUACGUGCCUGCAGCCGCGGUAAUACGUAGGUGGCAAGCGUUGUCCGGAUUUAUUGGGCGUAAAGCGAGCGCAGGCGGUUUCUUAAGUCUGAUGUGAAAGCCCCCGGCUCAACCGGGGAGGGUCAUUGGAAACUGGGAGACUUGAGUGCAGAAGAGGAGAGUGGAAUUCCAUGUGUAGCGGUGAAAUGCGUAGAUAUAUGGAGGAACACCAGUGGCGAAGGCGGCUCUCUGGUCUGUAACUGACGCUGAGGCUCGAAAGCGUGGGGAGCAAACAGG